GUGAACGCUGGCGGCGUGCUUAAUACAUGCAAGUCGAACGAUGAAGUCCUAGCUUGCUAGGAUGGAUUAGUGGCGCACGGGUGAGUAAUAUAUAGUUAAUCUGCCUUGCACUGAGGAACAACAGUUGGAAACGAUUGCUAAUACCUCAUACUCCAACUUUACAUAAGUUAAGUUGGGAAAGUCUUUUCGGUGCAAGAUGAGACUAUAUCGUAUCAGCUAGUUGGUAAGGUAAUGGCUUACCAAGGCUAUGACGCGUAACUGGUCUGAGAGGAUGAUCAGUCACAUUGGAACUGAGACACGGUCCAAACUCCUACGGGAGGCAGCAGUAAGGAAUAUUGUGCAAUGGGGGAAACCCUGACGCAGCAACGCCGCGUGGAGGAUGACACUUUUCGGAGCGUAAACUCCUUUUGUUAGGGAAGAAUAAUGACGGUACCUAACGAAUAAGCACCGGCUAACUCCGUG
rnacentral:rRNA from 1 species